rnacentral:snoRNA from 1 species
CUGCGUGAUGAUCUCGCUAACUGAGUGUACCUUUUUCGAUGCGCCCUGCGCAGUGAAAUGAGUUCUGGCGGUUGGUCCUUCCCGGGCCUCACUGACG